rnacentral:rRNA from 1 species
UACGUAGGGUGCAGGCGUUACUCGGAAUUACUGGGCGUAAAGCGUGCGCAGGCGGUUUCUUAAGUCAGGGGUGAAAUCCCAGAGCUCAACUCUGGAACUGCCUUUGAUACUGGGUGUCUUGAGUAUGGAAGAGGUGAGUGGAAUUCCGAGUGUAGAGGUGAAAUUCGUAGAUAUCCGGAGGAACACCGGUGGCGAAGGCGGCUUCCUGGACCGACACUGACGCUGAGGCGCGAAAGCUAGGGGAGCAAACAGG